AAGAACACUUCACACAAUUUCCCCAGAAAUUGUAGCUUUUUUAGUUAGUGUAAAAUUCCAACCUAUGUGGGAGUUUCUUGCUAUCUCCCUAAUGUAUUGCUGCUGUACACAGGGGAAAACAGAAAUCCCAUUUACAGUAAAUUCUUUUUUUUUUUUCCUUUAUCAGCAGUAGUACAAGCUUACCCUCCCUUAUUGAAUAAAUUUUGAUCGUUUUGCAGUAUUUUUUUUGUUGUGUGUAUUCUUUUGUUUGACUGAUCUGGAUGUCUUCAGGAAUUUAUAGCAAAAGGGGUGGGAUUUCUAAUCUUUUUAAGUUUCUUUGAGGCUACUUCUCCCAGUCAUCUUAAACACUGCCCCUGUGCGCAGGGG